GAUGAACGCUGGCGGCGUGCUUAACACAUGCAAGUCGAACGAUGAAGCCCAGCCUGCUGGGCGGAUUAGUGGCGAACGGGUGAGUAACACGUGAGUAACCUGCCCUUGACUCUGGGAUAAGCCCGGGAAACUGGGUCUAAUACCGGAUAGGAGCGCCUGUCGCAUGACGGGUGCUGGAAAGAUUUUUCGGUCAUGGAUGGACUCGCGGCCUAUCAGCUUGUUGGUGAGGUAACGGCUCACCAAGGCGACGACGGGUAGCCGGCCUGAGAGGGUGACCGGCCACACUGGGACUGAGACACGGUCCAGACUCCUACGGGAGGCAGCAGUGGGGAAUAUUGCACAAUGGGCGGAAGCCUGAUGCAGCGACGCCGCGUGAGGGAUGACGGCCUUCGGGUUGUAAACCUCUUUCAGUAGGGAAAAAGCGAAAGUGACGUACC
rnacentral:rRNA from 1 species